rnacentral:tRNA from 1 species
ACAGGGCUGGCUCAGUGGGUAGAGCAUGUGACUCUUGAUCCUGUGGUUGUGAGUUAGAGUCCCAUGUUAGGUG